rnacentral:rRNA from 1 species
UACGUAGGGUGCAAGCGUUAAUCGGAAUUACUGGGCAUAAAGCGUGCGCAGGCGGUUUUGUAAGUCUGACGUGAAAUCCCCGGGCUCAACCCGGGAACUGCGUCCGAUACUGGAAGGCUUGAAUCCGGGAGAGGGAUGCGGAAUUCCAGGUGUAGCGGUGAAAUGCGUAGAUAUCAGGAGGAACACCGGUGGCGAAGGCGGUUCUCUGGGCCUUACCUGACACUGAGGAGCGAAAGCGUGGGGAGCGAACAGG